GUCACAACAAACACAUAUUUGGUCACAGAGGAUCACCACAAACAAAUCUGCAUACAUCAUAGACCAACAACACAAUCCACCACCAGUCACCACCUUCAAUGUACCACCAGUACCACAUUCAACUCAAAUUCAUGACCAGAAAUAUUACCUUCACUGACAUGUGUUAUUAGUGGCUAACUGCGAUCAACUUUAUAUUCAGUGUGACUAUCUGUGACAAUAUCAGUCUAAAAUUGUGACUAUAUAUAACUAAGUCACAUACAAUCACAAUUAACAUAAAUUUGGUCACAAAUAUUCACAAUAAAGACAGAUUUGGUCACACAUGAUUUCCACUGCAAUUAUCAAAUGCGCAUCACCAACACCUUCAAUGAAUCUCAACCACCAUCACCAUCACGACCAUCGGCAUCACCGUACAACAUGAAGAUCCAUUGCUUGUACCUAUGAGCAGUAGGCGCAUCUCCUUUGAAGCCUCCAAACGCCCAACAAUAUUCAGGCCCAUUGCUGUACAUUGCCGGCCAUCAACCACCUCUUCUUACCAAAUUUCGGCAACUACAAUUUUACCCUACCAGCAUUAACUACAGCAAUUACCACCAAUUGUAACACCCAAACGCACCAAAAAAUUAAGCCAAAGACCAGUAGCUACGGACUGUCUUUUGUGUCACACUACCUUCUCUCGCGAUGCCCAUGCCAGUACCACCACACCGAUCUACCGUACUCAUCAAAGGACAUCUAUAUAUGGUUUAAUAUCAUCAAACAACAACACACAAUCCAAAUUUAUAAACCUGUUAUUCGCACAACUGAACACGCACAUUUCAAUUUCAAUUUUUGGCUUCAACAAUAAGCCUCACGAUCACAAACCACCUUCUCCGACAUCCCCACACCAUACCACAUCUAUUGCCACCAUGGGCUUUGCUUGGCUGCGUCAGUGUACGUAACAGUUCAUUGUUGCGUUCGGCGAUUCUUCAUUGUAAGAAAGAAGGGGCAAGUGAGUUGGGGUCCACCGUGCGCGGAGACGUCGAAAAGAAGAAGCGGGUGGGUAGGAUCCAUUGCAUGCAGCGACGCUAGAAAAGAAGGGACGGACGGGUGGGAUGAGAGAGAGAGAGAGAGAGAAGAAGAAGAAGAAGAAGAAGAAGAAGAAAAUGAAAUUGAUUUGGACAGAAUUGGG
rnacentral:lncRNA from 1 species